GUAUUUCUCAGUUGAAAGUGACGUUACUCGUUUGGCACAAGUUAUCUAUCGUCAGAGUGGGAGUUACUUUCACCUAACUGUUGGGACGCAGCACGGACUACAUAGACAAACAGAACAAACUCUCUUUAUAAGUUUUGUGGCAUUGCAUAACAGUUUGUGGACAUAUUCUGGUGAAAUCGAAGCAGACUAGUGCCAGAACGGAAGACUGAAGAAAGUUUAACAAACGCCGAGGCGCUGAAUCACAUUUUCCAUGAAGAUAUACAAUGCAUUUUUUUCAUUGUAACCCCGCUUUUUGAGUUUUGUAUCGAAACAAUCAAACGCGACGCCUUAAGAAAUUAUUCGUUCAUUUGUAUAUUUUGAAGUUCGCUUUACAGAAAACGUUGGCUAAUAAUUAAAUGUUUUAAUAGUUUAAUCGAUGGUCUACAUGUUUAGUCGUUAAAUCGAUUAGAAGCGAAAUUUUCAUUUAUAUAAAUUAGUAAACAAAAUCGAGAUACUAUAUUUUCGCCAUGUAGCUUUUUUCCCCCCACGAUUCUGAGAUGGUUGUGUUGUGGAUUUGUGUCGUGGGAGGAAUGUGAGUGGAAGUGUCGCUCAUGGAGCUUCAGGUGGUGUGCGGAUUGCUCUACUGCUGCCUGCUGCCCAUCUUUUUACUGGCAGCCUGCAUCGUUCGCUACAACGCUCUCUCUUUAGUCUACCUUCUUUACUUGCUGCUAUUACCAUGGUUUCAAUGGCCCAACAAACACACACUACGAGUAGGGUCUGGGACUCGAGACUAGCAGCCAUUUUGCCAAACCACAGCUUGACUGACCUUGAUAAUAGAGGAAUCCAUUAUAAACCACGACCCAUUCAUUCCUGUAGUACAACAGAGAGAGAGCUUGGAGUAUCACAAGA